GUUGAACGCUGGCGGCAUGCCUUACACAUGCAAGUCGAACGGCAGCACGGGUACUUGUACCUGGUGGCGAGUGGCGAACGGGUGAGUAAUACAUCGGAACGUACCUUAUCGUGGGGGAUAACGCAGCGAAAGCUGUGCUAAUACCGCAUACGCCCUGAGGGGSAAAGCGGGGGAUCGAAAGACCUCGCGCGAUUAGAGCGGCCGAUGCUUGAUUAGCUUGUUGGUGGGGUAAAAGCCCACCAAGGCGACGAUCAAUAGCUGGUCUGAGAGGACGAUCAGCCACACUGGGACUGAGACACGGCCCAGACUCCUACGGGAGGCAGCAGUGGGGAAUUUUGGACAAUGGGGGCAACCCUGAUCCAGCAAUGCCGCGUGAGUGAAGAAGGCCUUCGGGUUGUAAAGCUCUUUUGUCAGGGAAGAAACACCGGCUCUAACACAGUCCGGGAAUGACGGUACCUGAAGAAUAAGCACCUACGUGUCUGUG
rnacentral:rRNA from 1 species